rnacentral:tRNA from 1 species
GCCCCUGUAGCCCAACCGGAAGAGGUACCAGGCUAAGAACUUGGUUGUUACUGGUUCAAAUCCAGUCAGGGGCA